rnacentral:lncRNA from 1 species
AAAAUCGAAAAAUAGAUGCUGAAAUACAAUUUAGGAAAGUUUAGCCACGUAAGACGCCUGGUCAGCAGGCUCGGUGAAUCAGGACGCGCUGCGUGGCAGCAGACAGUGACGCAGUGCCACACGGGAGGCCACGCUGGCGAUCCACGUGCCCGCGAUCGAACGACCUAAAUCUGUUCUCGUGUGCACGGACGAUCCAAAUGCAUUCCCUCCCAAACGCGAUCGAACGGCCAGAUUCAAAUGGGAUC